rnacentral:tRNA from 1 species
AGAAAGGUAAGCUAAGAAAGCUACUGGGUUCAUACCCCAUCAAUAGAGGACACUCCUCUUCUUUCUA